UUUCUCACUUUGGCAGCAUAUAUACUAAUAAUUAGAAUGACACAGAGAAGGUUAGCAUACCCCUUGUGCAGAGAUGACAGGAAAACCCAUCAAGCGGUACAUACUUUU
rnacentral:snRNA from 1 species